CAGCAGCCGCGGGAAAACGAGGGGGGCAAGCGUUGUUCGGAAUUAUUGGGCGUAAAGGGUGCGUAGGCGGAUUGUUUAGUUAGGCGUGAAAUUCCUGGGCUUAACCUGGGGACUGCGCUUAAUACAGGCAGUCUAGAGUGAGGAAGAGGGUUGUGGAAUUCCCAGUGUAGAGGUGAAAUUCGUAGAUACUGGGAAGAACACCGGUGGCGAAGGCGGUCAUCUGGGACAACACUGACGCUGAGGCGCGAAAGCGUGGGGAGCAAACAGGAUUAGAUACCCCUGUAGUCCCUGUCUCUUAUAC
rnacentral:rRNA from 1 species